AUGCAUGUGUAAGUAGAGUGUUAUAAAGCGAAACUGCGAACGGCUCAUUACAACAGAUAUAAUUUACUUGUUCUUUGACUUAAAUGGAUAACUGCGGUAAUUCUGGAGCCAAUACAUGCACAAAGGCUCGGCUUCGGUCGGGUUGCUAUUAUUGGAGCAAAACCAUUCGUUAGUCCUUUUGCUAACUCUGGAUAAUACUGCGUAUCGCACGGUCUCGAACCGGCGAAGUUUCUUUCAAGUAUCUGCCCUAUCAACUGUCGUUGGUAGUGUAUUGGACUACCAUGGUGCUAACGGGUAACGGAGGAUCAGGGUCUGACUCCGGAGAGGGAGCCUUAGAAACGGCUACCAUGUCUAAGGAUAGCAGCAGGCGCGAAAAUUACCCAAUAUCAAUACGAUGAGGUAGUGACGAGAAAUAACGAGACCGUUCUCUAUGAGGUCGGUCAUUGGAAUGGGUACAAUCUAGACAAUUUAACGAGUACCUAAGAUAGGGCAAGUCUGGUGCCAGCAGCCGCGGUAACUCCAGCUAUCUUAGUCUAUAGAAUUAUUGUUGCGGUUAAAAAGUUCGUAGUUGGAUUGUUAAACUAGCUCGGGUCCACCUUAACGGGUGCGUACUCGUGGCUAGUAUUUUACGUGUUUGUAUGGAGUGACUUCGGUUGCUUUCAUGCUGCACGUAGGAUUACUUUGAACGGCUUAAGUGCUCAAAGCGAGUCUUCGGACUGAAUACCGGUGCAUGGAAUAAUGGAACAAGGUUGCGGCCGAGUUUUAUUGGUUUUGUCGGCUGAAACAAUGGUUAACAGGAACAGCCGGGGGCAUUCGUAUCGCUGCGC
rnacentral:rRNA from 1 species